AAUAAUCUCAUUUUUUGUUUUUCCGUAUUCAACGUUUGAUCAUUCGUCUUAUUUAAAAUCUUUUUGUGAUUAAUAUUUUUAUUAUUACUAAUAAUAAAAUAUAAAUAGUACUUUAUACGUGACUAAUUUUUUUAGAUUUUUAUAUAAUUUUUUUAAAUAAGACGAAAGGUCAAACGUUAGAUAUGAAAAA
rnacentral:pre_miRNA from 1 species